UACGUAGGGUGCAAGCGUUGUCCGGAAUUAUUGGGCGUAAAGAGCUCGUAGGCGGUUUGUCGCGUCUGCUGUGAAAACUCGGGGCUUAACCCCGGGCCUGCAGUGGGUACGGGCAGACUAGAGUGCGGUAGGGGAGACUGGAAUUCCUGGUGUAGCGGUGAAAUGCGCAGAUAUCAGGAGGAACACCAGUGGCGAAGGCGGCUCACUGGCCCGUUACCGACGCUCAGGCGCGACAGCGUGGGGAGCAAACAGG
rnacentral:rRNA from 1 species